rnacentral:rRNA from 1 species
UGCUAGUCGCACGAACUUAGAUUCGUGGCAUAUAGCUCAGUAACACGUGGCCAAACUACCCUACAGACCGCGAUAACCUCGGGAAACUGAGGCCAAUAGCGGAUAUCACUCUCAGACUGGAGUGUCGAGAGUGAGAAACGUUCCGGCGCUGUAGGAUGUGGCUGCGGCCGAUUAGGUAGAUGGUGGGGUAACGGCCCACCAUGCCCAUAAUCGGUACAGGUUGUGACAGCAAGAGCCUGGAGACGGUAUCUGAGACAAGAUACCGGGCCCUACGGGGCGCAGCAGGCGCGAAACCUUUACACUGCACGACAGUGCGAUAGGGGGACUCCGAGUGCGAGGGCAUAUAGUCCUCGCUUUUCUGAACCGUAAGGUGGUUCAGGAACAAGUGCUGGGCAAGACCGGUGCCAGCCGCCGCGGUAAUACCGGCAGCACGAGUGAUGGCCGAUAUUAUUGGGCCUAAAGCAUCCGUAGCUUGCUGUGUAAGUCCAUUGGGAAAUCGACGCGCUCAACGCGUCGGCGUCCGGUGGAAACUGCACGGCUUGGGGCCGAGAGACUCGACGGGUACGUCCGGGGUAGGAGUGAAAUCCCGUAAUCCUGGACGGACCACCAAUGGGGAAACCACGUCGAGAGACCGGACCCGACAGUGAGGGACGAAAGCCAGGGUCUCGAACCGGAUUAGAUACCCGGGUAGUCCUGGCUGUAAACGAUGCUCGCUAGGUAUGUCGCGCGCCAU